ensembl:lncRNA
CUGGAUUUGUAGCAAAUUGUUUUUUUCUGCUUUAAUUUUCUAACUUCAACGGCAGCAGUGCGUUCAGUACUUCUCCCAACUCCUUCAGAUUAAUGUUUACUCCCUUCCAAGCAGUUGGGUUAAAUAUAAGCUAAUUUAGGGGUGAGGAGAGAUGAGGAUCUCAGCCUGUGAUCAUAAUUCUUGCGAUGAAGCCACUGCACCAGUCAAUGAUUCUCCCUUCUAAUGUGUGUCUACAGGAGGAAAGAAAGAUGGACGUGCUACGUGGGCUGUACAUGCUCCUUAAAUGCAAGGUUCAUCAUUUUGUCUGGAUGGCCUGAAAUGUGUCCAGCCUUGGUGCUUUUAGGACACGAUCACUUACUGCUCAAUCAUGAGCAGUCUCCAAAGUUGUUCAGGUUGGUAGUGUUGAAGAUCCUGUGGGUGCCCAACGUGAUUGUGGUCAAGAUCACUACACUAGAAAUGGAUGAUGCUAUAUUGCUUGAUAUCAGGGCGAUGCCCCUCCUGUAUUUACUCCCAAGGAG